UAGGAGGAUAUUUGUUUGUGUUUAAUAUAAUUAUUUGCUUUGUUUGUAUGAGCAAAAUAGACAAGAAAGCAAAAAAUAUAUAUAUAUUCAGUAUUUAUUUGUUCCUUGUUUGCUUGCAUUUUCAGAUUUUCUUUGACCCCUCUUCUUCAUUCUUUUGUACUUUGUAUAAAAGCACCUCUUUUCAGUUUUUCUCUGCUAAAA
rnacentral:misc_RNA from 1 species